rnacentral:piRNA from 1 species
UAGGUGUGCCAUGCAAGUUGUUGGUGGA